UGGGGAAUUUUGGACGAAUCGGGCGAAAGCCUGAUCCAGCAAUGCCGCGUGUGUGAAGAAGGCCUUCGGGUUGUAAAGCACUUUUGUCCGGAAAGAAAUCCUUGGGCUCUAAUACAGUCGGGGGAUGACGGUACCGGAAGAAUAAGCACCGGCUAACUACGUGCCAGCAGCCGCGGUAAUACGUAGGGUGCAAGCGUUAAUCGGAAUUACUGGGCGUAAAGCGUGCGCAGGCGGUUUGCUAAGACCGAUGUGAAAUCCCCGGGCUCAACCUGGGAACUGCAUUGGUGACUGGCAGGCUAGAGUAUGGCAGAGGGGGGUAGAAUUCCACGUNUAGCAGUGAAAUGCGUAGAGAUGUGGAGGAAUACCGAUGGCGAAGGCAGCCCCCUGGGCAAGUACUGACGCUCAUGCACG
rnacentral:rRNA from 1 species